AGCCUACCCUGGCCGAUCCGCGGUCGCUGGAGUCGCGUGUAGCACUGACGUGGCGUUGCGGAGGUAGAGCGAGUCGCCCGUGACGUGCGUCAGGGGUGGCCAGGCUGUGUCAGCAACGUCGGCAGGCCGGGACACCGAACGCGACGAGCCCGCUCCCGGCGGUGAGAGAAGUCAGAGGUAGCACUGCACGGAGCCUCCGGUCUUGGCUCAGGGCUUCCUGAGUCGGUUGACGGAGCGUUGCGUGUACUGUGCCGCCUUUGACGGCGACUGACCAGGUGCGCCCUUAUGCCGAAUCUCGCUGCUCGCCAGGGUGGCUGGCACCCAGGGAACACCCUAGGGAGCCGGUCUCCCGCGAGUAGCCAGACGGACUUGGGCGUCUCCUGGCUCGGCCGUAGUA
rnacentral:rRNA from 1 species